UAAAUUAUAGCUUAAAAUAAAGUAUUUCAUUUACAUUGAAAAGAUAUUAAAUGUUAAUUAAUUUAA
rnacentral:tRNA from 3 species